AAGGGAGACCUAAUUCGGGUAGGAGACGAAAAAAAAGUAGUCGCUACCAAGAAUCAAUCCCAGAAGGUCGGAGCGAGGCGAAAUUGGCUUUCAAACUAGGUUCUGGGUUCACACAAGACCUGAAUCAGGAACAAGGGCUAUUAGCUCAGGUGGUUAGAGCGCACCCCUGAUAAGGGUGAGGUCCCUGGUUCGAGUCCAGGAUGGCCCACCUGCACAGGUGGCAAAAACAAGAGAAGCGAGGAAUCAGCACCUGCUCUUACCUACAUAGUAAGAGAGAAUGCUGGCUCUGAGUACAGAGUCCAGAGGAACCUUGAAAACUGCAUAGAGCUAGGUGAAAAAGCCAAAAAAGAAGACCGCAA
rnacentral:tRNA from 1 species